AGCAGCCGCGGUAAUUCCAGCUCCAAUAGCGUAUAUUAAAGUUGUUGCAGUUAAAAAGCUCGUAGUUGAAUUUCGGGGUUAGUAGGUUGGUCAUGCCUCUGGUAUGUACUGGUCUCACUGAUUCCUCCUUCCUGAUGAGCCGUAAUGCCAUUAAUUUGGUGUUGCGGAGAAUUUGGACUGUUACUUUGAAAAAAUUUAGAGUGUUUAAAGCAGGCUCGCGCUUGAAUACAUUAGCAUGGAAUAAUGAAAUAGGACGUUUGACCCUAUUUUGUUGGUUUCUAGGAUCGACGUAAUGAUUAAUAGGGAUAGUUGGGGGCAUUAGUAUUCAAUUGUCAGAGGUGAAAUUCUUGGAUUUAUUGAAGACUAACUACUGCGAAAGCAUUUGCCAAGGAUGUUUUCAUUAAUCAAGAACGAAAGUUAGGGGAUCGAAGACGAUCAGAUACCGUCGUAGUCUUAACCAUAAACUAUGCCGACUAGGGAUCGGAUGAUGUUAUUUUUAAUGACUCAUUCGGCGCCUUAC
rnacentral:rRNA from 1 species